UACAGAGGUCUCAAGCGUUUGUUCGGAUUCAUUGGGCGUAAAGGGUGCGUAGGGUGGCGCCGUAAGUCAGGUGUGAAAUUUCGGAGUCUUAAACUCCGAAACUGCAUUUUGAUACUGCGGUGCUUGAGGACUGGAGAGGGAGACUUGGAAUUUACGGUGUAGCAGUGAAAUGCGUAGAGAUCGUAAGGAAGACCAGUGGCGAAGGCGGGGUCUCUGGACAGUUCCUGACGCUGAGGCACGAAGGCCAGGGGGAGC
rnacentral:rRNA from 1 species